AAGGGCUUUUCCAACCUAGACGAUUCUGUGAUUCUGCUCUCACCGCAACACCCGGGCGGUGAAAUCCCUGAUGCUUCCGACAGCAAUGCAAGUGCUACCCUGGCUGCUUACCCGCUGGCUAUAGAGCCCCGUCGUUAGACUGAAGAAUGUAUAAUUACCCCGUUUAGUGUGUAGUUAAGAAAAAAGCAAACUGGUCAGCUCUAUUUCUAUAAAUUAGCCCGAGAAUAGGCCUCAUAUGUGACCGUGAAUGAACAAUUAACCAGGGCGUAGGGCUUGAACAACCACAUCUGGUUGACAUUUUCCUCUGAUGUUUUAUGAGCUGUUUAUUAUAGCAGUAGGCAUUCUUUAUUGGAAUGAAAUAAUAAAUUCACUUUCAGGGUAAUACAAAUUUUUUUUUCUGUUGUCUGCAAGACUGCUGAGAGAUCCAACAUAAUUUUCAACUAAGUAUGGAGUAUUUUGAUGAUUCUCACUCAGUGAAAGUAGGUUAGAACAACAAAUUCAACCACAUUUUUGGGGUGAUUUCAACAGGAGCAGACACUUCUGUCGAUCUCAAAGGUAUAUAAUGCACAUUAAAGAUCAAAUAAUACACAUAUUACAAAUCAUACCAAAAAUCAUUUUGAGUUCUCAGGCUAUGCAACUGUGGAUGGCAGCUUUGUAAAAGAAAACCCCCUUUGAAACUUGAGCCUGUUCCACAGUGCAAGCUGUGCGAAGUGCAGGGUGUCUACAAUCCACUGAAGCUCAGGUCAUCUAGAAAUACUCCCAUCAACUGCAACAGGAUUGAGAGAAUGGCCUACGUUUUGAAGAAUUUACAAACUUCAGUUUUCAAGAAUAUGUAUCUCUACAUAAGAAGAGUCUUAUGUAAGAACUGUACGGUUUGAUUAGAAGCACACAGCAGAAACAGAGUGUCUAAAUUCCAACAGCCACAAUUCCAGGCAUGUCUGCUGCUCAGGAUGUGAUUCACUUACUCCUGUCAAGUGUUUGCUUGAGGAUAAAGAUGAUGCUAAAGGAUAAAGACCCACAUUCAGGUCUUCUCUGAUAAUGGGGAGAAAGAAAGCAAAAUGGAAACUUAUACCAUCACAAAGUGAGGAAGUGGUGCAUGCCUCUGUGUAAAGUGCUGUCUAGCAUUUACCAUAGCAAACCUGGAAGCUGGACAGCCAACCAGGAAUGUGAGAGCACCUGUAAUUUCCAGGUGUUCUGGGCACAAAAGGAGGAGAUCUAAAUGAAGACAAGACCUUACAAGGGUAAAAAAAAAAAAAAAAAAAAAAAAAAAAAAAGACGGUGUGAUUAAGUCUUUCAGUAUCAUUAUUGAAAAGACAAAUGUUGGAGGCUGUGUUGCCUAAAAAAGAUGGAGGCAUAUUAAUAGAAAAUAUACUAUUUUAUCUACAGCAGAUCAAUGCUUCGUUAAGCGAUUAGGAAGUGUUAUGAAUUCUUGAAAGAAACAAAAGAGAAAGGCUGUUUCAAUUUCAAAAUUUUUAGAAAAACUGAAAGGAUUCCAAACCUGGAAGAUAAAAUGUUCUCAACCAAAGAAAUGUUCAAUGCUCCAAUUAUUAUUCACAUUUUAAGUGCCAAAAAUUUUUUUUAAAAAAUAUUGAUUUGUCACUGAAAAUUGACUAUGCAAUAAAGAGGGGUUCUUGCAGAGGAAAACUGUCCCAUUUCUUAUUUUCAAAGUAAUUUAGAUCCCACUUUUCUGAAGGAUUAACAUAGAACUGUGCAUUUCAAAUGCUAAUCUGACAUCUGAUAAAUUUGUCAGACUAUAGAAGGCUCUCUCUUACACCAGCCUUUUUCUUUAGAUUUCAAAUGUCUUCCCAUAACUAUAUAAACUUUAAAGAUUAAGUGUAUGUCAACACAUCUUGAAUUUAUAUAGACAUAAAAAUUUUAUUGCCGUAAUCGCAAGGAUCUAUCAAACCCAAUCUUUAUGGCUGUUUCUGGAAAAAGUAUAGCAAUUAAUAAUUACCAUAAAAAUUCAGAAAAAUAUUUCAGUUAUUUAGAACAGUUACUCUUUUGUUGUUUCCCCACUUAAAUAUCAACAAUGCCCAUAUUCACUGCAGUGCUGAAGUUGAUGAAAGGAGAACAUUUUAAACCGUAACCCUUAAAAUAUUGCUCCAUUCCAUUCACAAAUUAUGAGACAAAUUACAUUUCAAUAUAUGGUUCAUUGUCACAUAAAGAUACUCAUGUAAGGGAAAAUCAACAGCUUCAGUUAUAGAAAAUAUCAUUUUUUUAAAGUUACAAUUAUCAUAACAUUAUCAAAUCUCUUCUACUUCAUUGCAUGAAGACAUAAAGUCUGGUAUGUUGGGUUUUAAUAUUGGAAUAAAAUUCAGAAAACGCUCUCUCCACCUCUAUUCAUCUCAAAUUUACGAAAAUGAACAGCUAUUUAUACAAUCAGAUAGCAAAAGGCUAUUUGAUACACUAGACGGAUAUGAAGGAAGCUGAAACAACUGCUGCAGUGAAUCUGCCUUAUUGCCAAGUAACACGUUCUGCUGUUCGUGCUAAAGAGAGCGAGAGGUUUGCUUGGGGCUGAGCUCGGUGGGUUGGAGAGGACUGACACUCUCCCUGAUGAUGCAGAGCAGUUUAUUCACAAAGUCACUCUGCUUAGGCCCAAUUUCCCAUCUACAUUCAGAUU